CCUACGGGUGGCAGCAGUGGGGAAUAUUGCGCAAUGGGCGAAAGUCUGACCCAGCGAAGUCGCGUGAGGGAUGAAGGUUUUCUGAUCGGUAACCUCUUUCAGUAGGGAAGAAAGCGCAUGGCGCCAAUCAGCCAUGCAUUGACGGUACCUCCAAAGGAAGCGCCAGCUCACUCCGUCCCAGCAGCCGAGGUAAUACGGAGGGCGCGAGCGUUAAUCGGAAUUACUGGGCGUAAAGGGCGCGUAGGCUGUUGUGUAAGUUGGGGGGGAAAGCCCACGGCCCAACCGUGGAACAGCCCUUGAUACUGCGCGACUUGAAUCCGGGAGAGGGUGGCGGAAUUCGAGGUGUAGGAGUGAAAUCCGUAGAUAUCUGGAGGAACAUCAGUGGCGAAGGCGGCCAGCUGGACCGGUAUUGACGCUGAGGCGCGAAAGCGUGGGGAGCAAACAGGAUUAGAUACCCCAGUAGUC
rnacentral:rRNA from 1 species